rnacentral:misc_RNA from 1 species
GAUGAAGAACGUAGCGAAAUGCGAUAAGUAAUGCGAAUUGCAGAAUUCAGUGAAUCAUCGAAUCUUUGAACGCACAUUGCGCCCGCCAGUAUUCUGGCGGGCAUGCCUGUUCGAGCGUCAUUUCAACCAUCAAGCCUUCGCUUGUGUUGGGGCCCCGCGGCUGCCGCGGCCCCCUAAAUCCAGUGGCGGGCUCGUCGUCGUACCGAGCGCAGUAGACAUCCUCGCUCCGGGAACCCGACGGGUGCCGGCCGUGAAACCCCCCCCAUCAAGGUUGACCUCGGAUCAGGUAGGAAUACCCGCUGAACUUAAGCAUAUCAAUAAGCGGAGGA